AAAAAAAAAUUCAACUGUUGGAUUUGAACUGAACCUGAACUAGAAUUGAGACCCUAUGGUCUAGUUUUGGUCUCCUCAAACGUUGAACUAAAACCACCAGUUCCAGCCCUCAAUAUUCAAGUCCAUAGGCAAAUUAAUCAAACUAUGAAUCAUCUCGAUCACUCUAUCUUACCAUUGUAGAAUGAAAAUUCUCUUUGGCGUCCAUAUUAUUAGAGCCAUAAUUUUCUGCAUUUUCUGUAUCACUACAGAAGAAUAAUAUUCAAUAAAUUAUUUAAACUCAGUCAGGUCCAAUUUAGAACCGGUCCAACCAAAGAUUAAAAUCAGCCAAAACUGAAUUGACCAACAUUGGUCUUGAAUCGACCAGUUUGGUCUGCUUCCGGAUUAAAAGCAGAUUUUUUUUCUUCUAUUUUAAAAAAAAAAUUGAAAAAAAA
rnacentral:misc_RNA from 1 species